UAGGGAAUCUUCGGCAAUGGGGGGAACCCUGACCGAGCAACGCCGCGUGAGUGAAGAAGGUUUUCGGAUCGUAAAGCUCUGUUGUUAAGGAAGAACGAGUGUGAGAAUGGAAAGUUCAUGCUGUGACGGUACUUAACCAGAAAGGGACGGCUAAAUACGUGCCAGCAGCCGCGGUAAUACGUAUGGAGCAAGCGUUAUCCGGAUUUACUGGGUGUAAAGGGAGUGUAGGCGGCACUAUAAGUCUGAUGUGAAAACCUAAGGCUUAACCAUAGGAUUGCAUUGGAAACUGUAGAGCUGGAGUAUCGGAGAGGCAAGCGGAAUUCCUGGUGUAGUGGUGAAAUACGUAGAUAUCAGGAAGAACAUCGGUGGCGAAGGCGGCUUGCUGGACGAUAACUGACGCUAAGGCUCGAAAGCGUGGGAAGCGAACAGG
rnacentral:rRNA from 1 species